GCGUCAGUAGUGCAACGGAUAGAGCACGCGCUCCCGGAGAAAGUGAGGUGCGGGAUCUAGUCCCGCCUCGCGCA